rnacentral:rRNA from 1 species
GAGGUUUGAUCCUGGCUCAGGAUGAACGCUGGCGGCGUGCUUAACACAUGCAAGUCGAGCGAAGCGCUUAAGUUUGAUUCUUCGGAUGAAGACUUUUGUGACUGAGCGGCGGACGGGUGAGUAACGCGUGGGUAACCUGCCUCAUACAGGGGGAUAACAGUUAGAAAUGACUGCUAAUACCGCAUAAGACCACAGGGUCGCAUGACCCGGUGGUAAAAACUCCGGUGGUAUGAGAUGGACCCGCGUCUGAUUAGCUAGUUGGUGAGGUAACGGCUCACCAAGGCGACGAUCGGUAGCCGGACUGAGAGGUUGAACGGCCACAUUGGGACUGAGACACGGCCCAGACUCCUACGGGAGGCAGCAGUGGGGAAUAUUGCACAAUGGGGGAAACCCUGAUGCAGCGACGCCGCGUGGAGGAAGAAGGUCUUCGGAUUGUAAACUCCUGUUGUUGGGGAAGAUAAUGACGGUACCCAACAAGGAAGUGACGGCUAACUACGUGCCAGCCGCCGCGGUAAUUC